rnacentral:misc_RNA from 1 species
AAUAAAGAGAUCCAGCAACGUCCAACGCAUCGAGAAACAAAUACGUUCACCUGUUUUCAUUGAGGACGAUUCUCAUGGUCAUUUUCCGGAUAUCGCGGACAGUGACAUGAUUCAUUCACGAUCGAUGUUUCGUAACUGGAAUUAUUGGUGAAAUUUCAGAGAGCGUGUUAAGUAUUCGCAAGUAUUCAAUGUCUUGUGAAAGGAAACUAACGCGGAACACAAUCUUCCUGUUCCCGAGGCUCAAGUCCGGUCACGUUCACGCUCGGCGACACAUUGAAGCGAAAACGAGAGCGAAAUAUCGAGGAAAGAUGGAAUGGAGAUCGUAGAGAAAAAUGAUAAGUAGGCCAGACCCGACCGCGACUGGAUAAAAUGAUAAAACUGGAGCAUAUUAUUAUUUUCAAAACUGUUCAAAAUUUUCCCAAUGCAGCCAUCGGUUGCUGUAGGUUGGCUUAAUGCAUGAGCAAGAUAUGACAUACGUGUUUCCUGAUCUCAUUUUCAAGGGACUGUAAACUUUAUAAUUAUCGAUGUUUAGGUAGACGAUCGUAAGAUGAACGCGGUAAAACAGCGAUCGAACAUCGCCGAGAGGAACAUUGGGGAUGUAAAGAGUCGGAAUGGUCGGUGCAUCGGUAAUUUUUGAGAUACAAGGAAAUACAACAUGAAAAAUAUCGAAAGCCAAUACAAUUAAAAGCUGAGAUUCAAAAGCCGAUUGCACUUGCCGCGAAUCGAUCUACAGUUUCCAAUGCACUUCGCUCCAAUGUUAUUUCGGCCUGAUUCGGUAACGAGCGAAACAGCCGAUGCAGCGAACGAUGUAGCGAUUGAAGAACGUUAGCGAGAUCAUUUUUCUCCCUCUAGCAGCGAGGCAUUAACUACUGUUCCUGCGCCAAUUACGCUGUGUCCUUUAUACUUGUAUGGAAAAACCAAAUGGAGAGAAUUUUCACAGUGUUAUCCUCUUUUUCCACCACUACGGUAGCGGGCGAAAGCUUAAGACGACUGCCUUGUUGAUGGAUCAUCGCGCUAUGUCAUACGUAGAUAUUAAAUAACCAACAGUUUGUAGUUGUCCUUGCAAUCACGUUUGUAUGUACACAGAAGACGAAAAUAUUAUUAUGGGAAGAAUUCGUCAGCCUAAGUGAACACGUAUGGGUUUGAACCCUACAGCCAGUGUAUUAAGCGACGCUGAAAAAUUGUAGAGAGAGCAGAUUAAAGUUGCAAGAACAAGAUUUGUUCAAGAUCUUGUAACAAGAUACGGGCUUGACACUUUAAGGACCAAAGAAUACAAAGUAAUGUGUGAAUGUGUUCGAUAUAAAUAAAGUAAUAACGUUAUUACUUUAUUAAGAUAGAAAAAGUGUAUGAGAAUAACAGAUGCGAUGUAGAAGCUCACUAAAGAUCAGAG